rnacentral:rRNA from 1 species
CCUACGGGUGGCAGCAGUGAGGAAUAUUGGUCAAUGGGCGCUAGCCUGAACCAGCCAAGUAGCGUGAAGGAUGACUGCCCUAUGGGUUGUAAACUUCUUUUAUAUGGGAAUAAAGUGCAGUAUGUAUACUGCUUUGCAUGUACCUUAUGAAUAAGGAUCGGCUAACUCCGUGCCAGCAGCCGCGGUAAUACGGAGGAUCCGAGCGUUAUCCGGAUUUAUUGGGUUUAAAGGGAGCGUAGGCGGAAGAUCAAGUCAGCGGUAAAAUUGAGAGGCUCAACCUCUUCGAGCCGUUGAAACUGGUUUUCUUGAGUGAGCGAGAAGUAUGCGGAAUGCGUGGUGUAGCGGUGAAAUGCAUAGAUAUCACGCAGAACUCCGAUUGCGAAGGCAGCAUACCGGCGCUCAACUGACGCUCAUGCACGAAAGUGUGGGUAUCGAACAGGAUUAGAUACCCGAGUAGUC